rnacentral:snoRNA from 1 species
UCUUUGAAUUAUUAAUUAGAUAUAGUUUUUUUUUUUUUCUGUUUGAUGGAAGGAAGAUUGCCUCUUCUUUCAGCAGCAAGUUCUGUUCUUGUUAGCUUUGUUCUGGAGGCAUAUAU